CAGACCACCGAAGCAGCAGGAUAUGAUCUGCCCCACUGAAAAAAGUUUCUAAGGCUCUAUGGAAGAUGAGCUUCAACCUGGCAUAUUCUGCUAGCACGUGGUUUGGUCACUGCUGAGUUCUGUUCUAAGCCACCCUCCUGGGAUUUCCAGGGUUUCAGGCAGACACCUGGGGCAGACGCAAAUGAUGAGCCAAGGGGGACGAUAAAAAGAGACAAUACUUGUUUCCAGAAGCAGAGUUCAAGACCACUAAGGACUCAUUUUUUUUUUCAAAAUAUGCUAAUGGCUAUUCUCCCAUUUGAUUCAUUAAAAUUC